UCUUCUUUGUCUAUUGACUGAAGAAUUGGUGUAUUGACAAAUCCUGGACAAAUUGUGUUGAGUCUCACACCAUAGUUUUCCAUGUUAGCAGCUAACUGCUAAUGAUGAGAUAUUAAUGAUUACUCCUCCAUCACCUCCAUUUCCUUUUCUCAUAUAUUCUAGACCAAGGUAGGUUCCUCUAAUCACAGAUGUCAAGUUAAUUUGUAUAGUGCUUUCCCAGUCCUUCUCAUUGUUCACUCCAGCAUUAUUAAC
rnacentral:lncRNA from 1 species